UCGGGAAUUUUGGGCAAUGGGGGAAACCCUGACCCAGCAACGCCGCGUGAAGGAUGAAGUAUUUCGGUAUGUAAACUUCGAAAGAAUAGGAAGAAUAAAUGACGGUACUAUUUAUAAGGUCCGGCUAACUACGUGCCAGCAGCCGCGGUAAUACGUAGGGACCAAGCGUUGUUCGGAUUUACUGGGCGUAAAGGGCGCGUAGGCGGCAAUUCAAGUCAUCUGUGAAAUCUCCGGGCUUAACUCGGAACGGUCAGAUGAUACUGCUUUGCUAGAGUGCAGAAGGGGCAAUCGGAAUUCUUGGUGUAGCGGUGAAAUGCGUAGAUAUCAAGAGGAACACCUGAGGUGAAGACGGGUUGCUGGGCUGACACUGACGCUGAGGCGCGAAAGCCAGGGGAGCAAACGGGAUUAGAUACCCGGGUAGUCCCUGAGCGGGCUGGCAAGGCGCAU
rnacentral:rRNA from 1 species